AAAAUAAGGUGAGUGUUUGAUUUUCUAUACGAUUUAUAAACAAAAAUUGACAAAAGAUAUUUUUCCAGGUUGCGUAAGUUCGUGAAACAAAAAUUACAGAUAUGGAUAUGUAGAUGGACGUAUACGGCAGUACAAGCAAGGACUAACCCUGUGCCGUCACCACAGCCCACUGGACUAUAGCCACGAUCGCUGGGGUUGCAUGAAGUUUGGCCCUACGCCUGAAAACUCUCCCAACGGAGUAAGAUGAUAUUUGCCCGGUGGGCAAAAACUCCCUAUUCAACGUUUUGAGGACCUACCCGGAUUAGAGCUCUGAUCCUAGCGCCUACGGCUCCUUCUAAAACGGAACCCACUGCAACUGAGUUGGGACAAAUAGCCCUUCUUGUCUCCCCCAGGUCGUCCGUCUUAGUCCGAAGUCCGGCAUUUACCCCUGCAACCCGGAGGAGGUUACAAGCAUCUGGAGCUCCCACGUUGAUUGGAGAGGCGAUGGUGGCUGGAUGCGGUUGAUGAUGGUGUAUCCGUUGUUUUUUUUUUUUUUUUUAACUUUAUUUUUAAGAUGUAGCGUUAUGUAGCUUGUAAGAUUUUAGUCUUAUUUAGAUUGUAAUUUUUCUUUUAGGUAUGCUCAAUUCUUAGAUAUCUUCGUAACUUUAAGAUGUAUUCAAUUCACUGUUUGUUUGUUUUUUUUUCUUUUUUAUCUAGCUUGUAGAUUUUAAGUAUUUUUUUUUGCUUGUGGUUUUGUUAACUUAGUUCUUAGGUAAGUUUAGUAUGUAGCCUUUAGGUAAGUU